rnacentral:rRNA from 1 species
CCCAAGUGCCAUAACAGCCCGAGGAUGCCCCCGCCUAGAAGCUAAGCAGGGUUGUGCCUCAGAGGUGCUUUAAUGGGGGACUGCUUGGGAAGACUAGAGGCUAGAAGGUCUUGGCU